rnacentral:lncRNA from 1 species
GUAAAUAUAACAAUUCCCAGCAUUUCAGAUACAUCUACCCUUCAGAUAUUUAACAGUCACAAUAAUACAUUCAAUAUAAAUAUUCAAAAGUAAUGUACCUAUUACCUAGUGAUACUAAAGCAUCCGCCAACGAGGAUUUCUUCGGGGGCCGAACAAAGAACAGGAUAUUGUUUUAUUUUAUUAUUUUUGAUUUUACUUUGUACCUAUCGAAAGAAAGAAAGAACAAGAAUAUAUUUACUUAUUUAGAA